GAUAACUUGUGUGCUCAUAUUAUAUUUGUAUAAUCAUUGAGUUGUAUGAAAAAAUGUUUCUCUGAGUAAAUGGUCUCCAAGCAAUCGAGUGCUUCUAGAAACAUCAUUUUGACAUAAAAUAGGCUAAGACUUGGUCGCUUCAUCGGUUAACCCAUUCAUAAGUUUGCUCUAUGCUCCUUCAUACGUGUGUGUAUUUUACGAAGAAAUAUGAUCAAAGAAGGGUAGUAUUGUAAAUAAAAGCGAACAGCAGGGAAGUUUACAAAAAAUGACAAAGACUUAUACUCUUCUUAUUGUUGUAUCUACUUCUUCAGAGCGAAGCAAGAGACAAAGUACGUAUAUUGUAUUUGGUAAGGAAGAGGAAGAAGCAGAGGUUCUUGAGAGAUGGCCUGAAGAAGCUAACUUUAAAGAGUGCCAAUGUCAUAAAAGGGGUCCUAUGGCACACAGGGUUAAGUCAGGCGAAAGAAGAAAUUAAAAGAAAAGGUCAUGUAUACAACAAUGUCAAUGGCGAAGAUCGCUUCAACCAUGGUGUCUUUGUCUCCUCCUCUUCGUGCUCAGCUCCUACGUCCAAGAUGCCGUCGAUGUGAGGUCUCGUCCACCGGUGGUCAUUGCUCUUCGUCGCGUCUCGUCAACAUCGACUUCUCCACGUCUCAAGCCCACGACCUCUCCAUCUCCAAAUCAUGUUCUAUGGCGUGUCUCUGCUGCGUCAUAGCCGACUCUCCAUUGUCGUAAACGAGAUGGGACGAGAAGUGCGAUCUGCAACAUCAACGGAGGAGUAUCAUUUUUUUGUAAUUUUGGUCCUCUAGUUUACUCUUUCUUUCACAAUAUGCUUCAAACUUCCAAUCUGAUCAAAUUACUUCACAAAUUUACCCCAACAUUGAUGUACAUAUAUGGAUAACAUACUAGUAUGCACCGGUGUACAUGUGAGUCGUUGUACAAGUGGACAACGAUAUGUGUGUACAUUUGAAUGCUAUUUAAAUUUGCAAAUGUUAUAACU